GCGUCUCCGGGACGAAGGUAGUUCUGAACGGCCCACCGAACGGCGUAAGCACUCUCGUCGCUUAAGUCGACGGCGAUGGCGAUGCGACGCUGGGAACCGGCAGUUGGGGUGGCGUUCGACGGGACACGUGGGGAUGUCGGUUGGAUACGGAGUGAAGCCAGAUGUGGAAGCGGAAGGUCCGGUUCCGAUUGGUGAAGUUGUGUGGGAUUCAUGAGAAGAGAGGAUGUUGGGAAACGGAAGAACUGGUUAAGUCUUGGGCCAGGGGAAAAUCAGAGAAAUUGCGGUGACACGGGGUGCUAAUUGCGC
rnacentral:lncRNA from 1 species